rnacentral:rRNA from 1 species
AGCAGCCGCCGCGGGAAUACGUAGGGUGCAAGCGUUAAUCGGAAUUACUGGGCGUAAAGCGUGCGCAGGCGGUUUGUUAAGACAGAUGUGAAAUCCCCGGGCUCAACCUGGGAACUGCAUUUGUGACUGGCAAGCUAGAGUCUGGCAGAGGGGGGUGGAAUUCCGCGUGUAGCAGUGAAAUGCGUAGAUAUGCGGAGGAACACCGAUGGCGAAGGCAGCCCCCUGGGCCAACACUGACGCUCAUGCACGAAAGCGUGGGGAGCAAACAGGAUUAGAUACCCGUGUAGUCCCUGUCUCUUAUAC